GAAAUGCGAUACUUAAUGUGAAACGCAAUCCAGUGUGAAUCAUCGAGGUUUCGAACGCAUAUUGCGCUCUCGGAGUCACCUCUGGGAGCAUACCUGUUUGAGAAUCGUUUAAUCUGUCUAGAUGAAUCUCUCAAAAAAAAGAUUGAUCUAGGAUUUGAGAGAUCUCUUUGAAAAGAAAGAGUCUCUUCAAGCAGAGAACCGCAUUAUGGCUUUGUGGCCACUCCCCUAGCACAGUGGAGUUGUUUGUUUGUGUGUACCGAUGUGUCGGAGUGAUUUAUCACUACAAAACGAUGUCAUUGGGAAAGAACAUCAACACUACUACUACUAUAGUGGGGAAAGAUGCGUGUAUAAUCUAUAUAUUUAAUCACAAUUGCGAUCUCAAAUCAGGCAAGAGGACCCG
rnacentral:misc_RNA from 1 species